rnacentral:rRNA from 1 species
AAGCGGUGGAGGCAUGUGGUUUAAUUCGUAAGCAACGCGAAGAACCUUAACCACGAUCUUGACAUCCAAUUGACCAUCUUUUAAUCGAGAUUUUGCCUUCGGUACAAUUGAGACAGGUGGUGCAUGGUUGUCGUCAGCUCGUGUCGUGAGAUGUUGGGUUAAGUCCCGCAACGAGCGCAACCCUUGUGUUUAGUUGCAAACAGGUCAAGCUGUGCACUCUAGACAGACUGCCGUGGACAACACGGAGGAAGGUGGGGAUGACGUCAAAUCAUCAUGCCCCUUAUGAUCUGGGCUACACACGUGCUACAAUGGCCGGUACAACGGGCAGCGAAGGAGCGAUCCGGAGCGAAUCCUAAAAAGCCGGUCCCAGUUCGGAUUGCAGGCUGAAACUCGCCUACAUGAAGUUGGAGUUGCUAGUAAUCGCGAAUCAGAAUGUCGCGGUGAAUGCGUUCCCGGGUCUU